rnacentral:misc_RNA from 1 species
UUAACUAUUAUAUAGUACUCAGACGACAAUUAAACAUGAGUUUGGGGUCCUCUGGCAGACACUGACCAGCCGGAGCCGGUGGCCCAAGGGCGGGCCUGCCAAAGCAACAAAGGUAAGAUAAACAAAGGGUGGGAGAUUGCCCGGAGGCAGAUUCUCUGUAAUGAUCCUUCCGCAGGUUCACCUACGGAAA